ensembl:lncRNA
CUUGCACUACUUCUGACUUAUCACUGUCAGACCACUUGCUGGUGUCUUUUAAUGUUUCUUUAUCUGUGUUCAAGCCUAAUUUGAGUCGUACAAUCACAUUUCGUAAUAUUAAGAACAUUGAUCCCUCAAUCCUUGGGGAAUGUUUGUCCACACUUUCCCACAAAGACCUUUCAGGGAAUCUUGAAGAUUUAAUCCAGCAUUAUAAUGACAAUCUUCAAAUGAUCCUCGACACUUGUGCUCCACUGAAAACCAGGAAUGUUUCGUUUGUCAACUCUGCACCCUGGUUUACAUCGGAUCUUCGUCUGCUAAAAGUCAAAGGGCGUCGAUUAGAACGCUUGUACUCCAAGACUGGACUUGUAGUUCAUAAAGAUUUGUAUGCUGAUCACAUGCAAGUUUAUAAGACUGCUCUUUCCACAGCGAAAUCAGAUUAUUAUGCAGGUUUAAUUGGAUCUGGUGUAGGAAACCAAAAAUCUUUAUUCUCUGUGAUUAACACUAUUUUAAAGCCACCUGAGUGUUCUAACGGGGAUAUAAACUCUACAGAAUUGUGUGAAGCAUUUAUGCUCUUUUUUACUCUGGAAAUAAAUAAUUGUUCUGUUCCUCUAUCGAAUCAGGUCAAAAGUUUAGGUGUCAUUUUUGACACAACUUUGUCUUUUGAAUCUCACAUAAAUAGUGUUACCCGUUCUGCAUUUUUCCAUAUUCGCAAUAUAAGUCGUCUGCGCCCUGUCCUUUCACUCAGGAGUACUGCUACGCUUGUGCAUGCUCUUGUAACAUCAAGAAUCGACUAUUGUAAUGCUUUGUUUUAUGGGCUUCCUUCCAAAUCUCUUCAUAAAUUACAGUUAGUACAGAAUGCUGCAGCUCGAGUCAUUACCAAAACUUCCACUUUUGAACACAUUUCUCCUGUUUUACAGAAGCUGCAUUGGCUCCCGGUUAAAUUCCGUGUGAAUUUUAAAAUUUUACUUUUAACUUACAAAGCACUUAACAAUUUGGCUCCUUCAUAUCUCCAUGAUCUUCUUCAUAUACACACUCCUUCCCGCACUCUAAGAUCUGCUUCUGCACUUACACUUGUUCAGCCACGCACUCGGACAACUUCUCUGGGGUCACGAGCUUUUGGCUUUGCUGCUCCCCAUUUAUGGAACUCUCUUCCUGUAGAAGUUCGCAACAGUUCUAGUCUCUCAGUUUUUAAAUCUCGUCUUAAAACAUAUCUGUUUAGGCAGGCUUUUAUGUGAUUUAAUGUUUGUUGUUGUACUGGUUUGAUUGAGUAAUGUCUUUUUUUUAAUGAAUUGUGUAAGGUGUCCUUGAGUGCCAUGAAAGGCGCCUUUAAAUAAAAUGUAUUAUUAUUAUUAUUAUUAAAACAUUAUUAAUGCUUGAUCUUAAAUGUCACUUAAUUUUCAUGGGACAAGAAAACCAUUAGAGUGAAGUACUUUUAAAAUAUAUAG